AUUCUCCCUCUCUCAGCAGUCAUUUGUUGCCUGUAGCUCUUCCUCUAGGGGUGGGACCUCACGAUAUUCCCCACAUCCACUUUGGUACGUCUGCUGGUAUUGUUGUUGUUCCGAUCUCGUGUAGUCAACUGUGUUGCUGAGAUUGCAUCGGUAGCCUAACUGUCGUAUCUGCAGCAGACUUCCUAUGCUCUGGCUGGUAGAACUCCUAGCCACUCCCCCUUGAUCGCACAUGUGCUAGCAAGACGCUUAGUCAUUCACUUGGUCAUUCCAGGGCCUUGUGUCCCACGUAAUCUGUAUGCUGCAUGAUCACAUAAUCUACUCGCGUGUGUGUCGUAGCUAUGGAAGCCCACAUGUGCGUGUGCAGGGGAAUCCAUAAAAGUGGGUCCCACGUACCCCUCCCCAUUUCUCCUUGCACAACCAUAGGCCUAAGUGUUAGGAUCCUGCCCUCACUCCUGCAUAUGCGUAGUUCAGGGUCUUGCAUCUUACAUAAUCAGUGUGUGCUGGCAACUACGUAUGCACCUUAAAAGCUGGACGCAGGCCCCACCCUCUCUCUCUGCUCUCUCUCUGUUCCCUGCUCUGCUCUGCUCCAGCCAUCUUUCUCGCCCUCCUCUCUCCUAUCCCCUCCCUCCUUCCAAUAAAGCUCUCUGUAACUCUGGUAGUCGAGGCUGUGGCUUGUGACUUUUCCACCCGUAGCCAGCGCUGCCACCAGCGCUGUUUAUUGUCCUUUCAUUUGGUGCCCUGACUCUAGGAAAUUCUGCUCGCUCGGCAUCCAGGGCUGAGUGUUGUCGGAAACCUAUACCGAGGACCUGCGACUGCCAAAUCUGGAUCCGCUGUUUUCAUUUGCCCAGCCACCACUGCCACCACCACCACAGUACUGCAUGGGAACUGUGCUCGCGCUGCUGCUGCUGCUGCUGCAGCAACCACAGGCACCACAUCUCCCCCCACCACACGUGCUGCCAAGAUUGCAUCCUGUCAGACACAAAAGCAGCCAGAGUGCCAAGUCAAGAGGGAUGGACGGCUCCAGGGCAGCAGGACAGCCCACCAUCCCAGGAUGCCUGUCUACCUCAGGAGGCCCCUGCCCUACUUCCCCCAAGAGUCAACCGACGCCCACCAAGUCAGCUGGAAGCAGUGUUUCCAGGAGAAAUGGUGCCCCUGUUCCUACUCACUCGCUUUUUUAUAAUAAGCAAAAAGUUUGGAAUGGUAGGAUCCUGCCCUCACUCCUGCACAUGCGCAGCUCGGGGUCUUGCGUCUUAUGUCAUCAGUGUGUACUGGCGACUAUGUAAGUGCCUUAAAAGCCGGACACAGACCCCCACACUCUCUCGCUGCUCUCUCUCUGUUCUCUGCUCUGCUCCAGCCAUCUUUCUUUCUCUCCAGGCCCGGCUCUCCUCUCUCCUAUCCCCUCCUUCCUUCCAAUAAAGCGCUCUGUAACUCUGGUGGUCAUGGCCGUGUCUCGUGGCCUUUCCUCUGGUAACCAGUGCCGUUUGUCAUCCUUUCACUAAGCACCCUUUUCUAUUCCCUUCCCCUAAUAAACUCUUACAGUGGG